UACGUAGGGUGCAAGCGUUGUCCGGAAUUACUGGGCGUAAAGAGCUUGUAGGUGGUUUGUCGCGUUGUUCGUGAAAUCUCACGGCUCAACUGUGAGCGUGCGGGCGAUACGGGCAGACUAGAGUACUGCAGGGGAGACUGGAAUUCCUGGUGUAGCGGUGGAAUGCGCAGAUAUCAGGAGGAACACCGGUGGCGAAGGCGGGUCUCUGGGCAGUAACUGACGCUGAGAGGCGAAAGCGUGGGGAGCGAACAGG
rnacentral:rRNA from 1 species